UACGUAGGUGGCAAGCGUUGUCCGGAUUUACUGGGCGUAAAGGGCUCGUAGGCGGUCUGUCGCGUCGGGAGUGAAAACUCAGGGCUUAACCCUGAGCCUGCUUCCGAUACGGGCAGACUAGAGGUAUGCAGGGGAGAACGGAAUUCCUGGUGUAGCGGUGAAAUGCGCAGAUAUCAGGAGGAACACCGGUGGCGAAGGCGGUUCUCUGGGCAUUACCUGACGCUGAGGAGCGAAAGUGUGGGGAGCGAACAGG
rnacentral:rRNA from 1 species